UCCAAAGACGGGGCAGAUGCCUAGGUAAUGCGUAGGGGUCGAGCUGUGUUGCGAAUUUCUGGGUGUAAAGGGCGUGUAGGCGGGGAUGUAAUUCAGAUGUGAAAUUCCACGGCUUAACUGUGGCGCUGCAUCUGAAACUAUGUCUCUUGAGUGCUGGAGAGGAAAGCGGAAUUCCAAGUGUAGCGGUGAAAUGCGUAGAUAUUUGGAGGAACACCAGUGGCGAAGGCGGCUUUCUGGACAGUAACUGACGCUGAGGCGCGAAAGCGUGGGGAGCAAACAGGAUUAGAUACCCUAGUAGUC
rnacentral:rRNA from 1 species